CCGCGGCCGCGGCCGCGGGGGAUCGCAAUCUGAGCUGUUGUGGCCCCCGUAGCCCGCCGGCAGGUCUCCGUCGAGGGCAGCAGCCCCCCGCGGCCGUGGCCGCCCAUCUGGAGGUACACGUGGCGUUAGCGAGUAGGGCUCUACCCUGCAGUUUCCGAGCUGCUCCUCCAUAGAGGCUUCCUGCCCUAGGACUUGUCCUUGAAGUUCCUUCUGCCUGGAUUCUGUCAGAUUCUCACAAGAAGCACAGGACCACCAGCCCUAGGAGUGCAAAAGAAACCUCACAGUCCCCUUCCUCACUUUCUCCACAGCCACAGAGGGAGAGGCUGGAGGAAUAUCACUGCUGGGGAAACCUGAGGUCCAGAGAAGGGAAAAUCCUGAUCAAGGUCACCCCGAACCGAGAGCAGAAGCCCAGGCCAGGGUUUUCUCCGUGGCGGUGGGAGUGCAGGUGCGCACUCUUUGUGGGGCGCAAUCCAUGCAGGAGCUUGGGGCCAAAGCCAGGGAACUAACGGUGCUGGCCAAGGAAAUAGUGACUGCAUAGGAGGCUGGACUCCUUGCUGCCUCAGUUUCCACAGCACUACCUCUGGUGGGGGUCAGGAGACGAGGCAAUUGGCCAAAUAUGUGCCUGAACAGAGUCCGGCUGUCCUUAGACUGUCCCCGCACUUCCCAACGUCCAAUGGAGAAUCUUUACUGCAAGCUACCUCCGAGUCCUUUAAAAUCCAGUCCUCCCGUUCGAGCCUCUCGGCGUUCUAUUGGAAAGACUAUGCUCUUGGUCCCUCUAGAAUGAACUGCUCAGACUGCCGCGGAAGGUGUCCUGGGGCUGUAACUGCGCAGGCGCAAGGGCAGCCAACCCGGAAGGCGGAAGAGCUGGAUCCGGACAGUUGGUGUCGCGGGCGGGGACUAUG